CGUUUUCUGGUGAAAGCUUCCCGAAUUCCUCAGGCAUUUACUAGGACUUUCUUGAAGUCCCGCUAGCCCUGUAGACUUCCACUGCAGAUAACUGUUGACUGUGUAUACGCCGGCCCCCUGCACUGGACCACGCAUAUAUCUCUGUAACAGCACUGCGCGCGCAAGGGUGCCUGUGACAGGUCUUCCAGUAUACACGGCAUACAUUGGAAAACUACAACUCCCAGAAAUCCCACGCCAGAACUGAGCCUACGCCGUUGCUAUGGCAUCUGUUAAUCUGGAAGAUGCCCCUGGAUACCUGCACUGUACUUUCAGAAGCCUCAUGGACUGAAGGGGACAAAAAUCAAAACCUAAGACCAGCUAAAGGUGGGAACCCCCAUCACAGACUGGGAUUUCAAAGUAUUACACUUUUAAGAUACAGGUGAAACAAAAGUAAAUCAGUCUUCACACUGA